rnacentral:rRNA from 1 species
GACGAACGUUGGCGGCGUGCUUAAUACAUGCAAGUCAACUGAAGCAGUGGUAGCAAUAUCGCUGUGGAGGUGGCGCACGGGUGAGUAACACGUAGGUAAUCUGCCUUCAGGUCUGGCAUAACUCCGGGAAACCGGGGCUAAUAGCAGAUGAUGCAGCGGCUCGACAUCGAGACAGUUGUUAAAGCUAUGGCGCCUGAAGAUGAGCCUGCGUCUGAUUAGCUAGUUGGCGGGGUAACGGCCCACCAAGGCAACGAUCAGUAGCUGGUCUGAGAGGAUGAUCAGACAAACUGGAACUGAGACACGGUCCAGACUACUACGGGAGGCAGCAGUAAGGAAUAUUGCUCAAUGGGAGAAAUCCUGAAGCAGCAACGCCGCGUGAGGGACGAAGGGCUUUUGCUUGUAAACCUCUGUAGUGAGAGAAAAAAAUCCCAAUCUUUGGGACAUGAUGGUAGCUCAAAAGUAAGCCCCGGCUAACUACGUG